rnacentral:rRNA from 1 species
AGGGUAGCAAUACCCUAGCGGCGGACGGGUGAGUAACACGUGGGCAACCUGCCUCAAAGACAGGGAUAACACUCCGAAAGGAGUGCUAAUACCUGGUAAGCUCACAGGGCCACAUGGUCUGGUGAGAAAAGGAGCAAUCCGCUUUGAGAUGGGCCCGCGUCCCAUUAGCUAGUUGGUAGGGUAACGGCCUACCAAGGCGACGAUGGGUAGCCGACCUGAGAGGGUGAUCGGCCACACUGGAACUGAGAGACGGUCCAGACUCCUACGGGAGGCAGCAGUAGGGAAUCUUCCGCAAUGGGCGAAAGCCUGACGGAGCAACGCCGCGUGAGUGAUGAAGGCCUUCGGGUCGUAAAGCUCUGUCUUCAGUGACGAAUGAGACGGUAACUGAGGAGGAAGCCACGGCAAACUACGUGCCAGCAGCCGCGGUAAUACGUAGGUGGCGAGCGUUGUCCGGAAUUACUGGGCGUAAAGCGCGCGUAGACAGCUUAAUAAGUCAGAUGUGAAAGACCCGGGCUCAACCUGGGGGCGGCAUCUGAGACUGUUGAGCUUGAGUGCACGAGAGGCAAGUGGAAUUCCCAGUGUAGCACUGAAAUGCGUAGAGAUUGGCAGGAACACCAGUGGCGAAUGCGACUUGCUGGACUGUAACUGACGUUGAGGUGCGAAAGCUAGGGGAGCAAACGGGAUUAGAUACCCCGGUAGUCCUAGCCGUAAACGAUGGGUACUAGGUGUGGGAGGUAUCGACCCCUUCCGUGCCGCAGUGAACGCAAUAAGUACCCCGCAUGGGGAGUAUGGCCGCAAGGUUGAAACUCAAAGGAAUUGACGGGGGCCCGCACAAGCAGUGGAGCAUGUGGUUUAAUUCGACGCAACCCGAAGAACCUUACCAGGACUUGACAUCUACGUAAUCCUUUAGAGAUAGAGGAGUGCGCUUUCGGGCGAAAGGUAAGACAGGUGGUGCAUGGUUGUCGUCAGCUCGUGUCGUGAGAUGUUGGGUUAAGUCCCGCAACGAGCGCAACCCUUAUGAAUAGUUGCCAGCGAGUGAAGUCGGGCACUCUAUUCAGACUGCCGGUGACAAACUGGAGGAAGGUGGGGAUGACGUCAAAUCAUCAUGCCCUUUAUGUCCUGGGCCACACACGUGCUACAAUGGCCUGAACAACGGGAAGCAAGAGCGCGAGCUUAAGCGGAACCCUAAAAACAGGUCUCAGUUCGGAUUGCAGGCUGCAACCCGCCUGCAUGAAGCCGGAAUUGCUAGUAAUCGCGGAUCAGCAAGCCGCGGUGAAUACGUUCCCGGGCCUUGUACACACCGCCCGUCACACCACGAAAGUUGGCAACACCCGAAGUCGGUGAGGUAACCUG